rfam:Tupaia belangeri cont1.145648, whole genome shotgun sequence.
UUACAAAGGGAAAACACAAGGAAAGCGAGAGGCCUCAUUGACUUGGAGAAAAUCAAGAGGAGUGGGCUCAUUAUCAGGAAACUCCCUGGCCCCAGAGUGUGUCCCCUC